rnacentral:rRNA from 1 species
GACAGAGGUGCCGAGCGUUAGGCGGAAUCACUGGGCUUAAAGCGUGUGUAGGCGGGUCGUUAAGUGUAUUGUGAAAUCCCACCGCUCAACGGUGGAACUGCUGGGCAUACUGGCGAUCUUGAGCCACCUAGGGGCAGACGGAACAAGCGGUGGAGCGGUGAAAUGCGUAGAUAUCGCUUGGAACGCCGACGGUGAAAACAGUCUGCUGGGGGUGUGCUGACGCUGAGACACGAAAGCCAGGGGAGCGAACGGG